UACGUAGGUGGCAAGCGUUGUCCGGAUUUACUGGGCGUAAAGAGCGCGCAGGCGGUCGUUCAAGUCGCGUGUGAAAGCCCCCGGCUCAACUGGGGAGGGUCACGCGAUACUGAUCGACUCGAAGGCAGGAGAGGGAAGUGGAAUUCCCGGUGUAGUGGUGGAAUGCGUAGAUAUCGGGAGGAACACCAGUGGCGAAGGCGGUUACCUGGAGCUUUGCUGACGCUGAUGCGCGAAAGCGUGGGGAGCGAGUCCGG
rnacentral:rRNA from 1 species